CUUUUUUUUUUUUUUUUUUUUUUUUUUUUUUUUUUUUUUUUUUUUU
rnacentral:ribozyme from 1 species